CCAGCUUGCGAUGGCUCUCUGUGCUGUCUCUCCAACAAUCCUACCUGCGAUGCUAACUCCCGCUCGGCUUUUCCGAAGCCCUUCCAACGACCGCUUCCUCCUGGCCGGCGCUGCCUUGGCAGUUAUUUCAAGCUAAUGGAGCUGAGCUGCCCACAAAUCCUGGCGAACCUGCGUUUUCCACCCAUGCCAACAGCCUGUGCUACGCUCUGAAUCGGCGCACAAAAUUAUAAGGAUCAAGCCAGCUGAACUAAACCUUUCCAGUUAAACUGACGGAAGCAAAUCCACCCAGGCACAGCGUUCGCACCAGGGAAUUGGAGAGGGAGAGGCCAGCAGAGCUGCCCUUCCCCACCUCCCGGGCCGCACCACACACUCCUCCCAGCAUCGCUUCCCUGUAUAACACCACGUCUGCCCUGCAGCAGCCUCCCUCCAGGAGCAGGGGCGCAGUCCCCUCCACGACACGGUUUUGGAAGCGUACCUCCACAGCAGGGAUUUCUGGAGAAGCAGUUCAAGCAGGCAGUCAAGACGACAGAAGAGAGGCAGGAGAAGGGCAGGUGAGCUGCAGAGAACGGUUAACUAAUUAAGGUAAAUAGCCCUCAUUACAGCUGUGGGGAUUUAUGUGCUGGUGGAUCAUAGAGGUGAAUGGAAAAUUCCUGAAUUGAGCAAACCAGCUAGCUUAGCAAAGCAAAAUCCUGCUCGCUCCUGAGAUAAAUCCACUCUCACUCCACCCCCAGGAAUGUCUUGCUGCUAUCUGACAGGGAUAGGAUCUUCUGAUAGACGGAAAAGCGUUACGUAUGUGAGGUAUGUGCAGCUCCUCGCUAAGCACUCCCUUCCUGCCACCCUCUUUCUGAAACAUAAAGGCGUUUUCUGCGAUUUGCUUUUCAUGUACUAAUGAAUCCGGGAAGAUCACAGCAGUCUGCAGAUAAGGAAACAUAAAACUCCUUUCAGAGCGCUUGGAAUGGCAUUUGGCAGUGUUCAAGAUAAGUUCAAAGGGUUUUAUCCCCAAAAUGGGAAUGAAUAACAGUAGUAUUGAGCUCUUUCCAGUUCCCUUACCCAGUGAUGCCCUGGAAGAACUGUUUCAAACCCGACCAGCAAAUGGAAUGCUUGGUUACCAAUCAAACCUGGUGAAUCCCAAUACACAGAUAUGUUCUCUCCUCAUCUGCAAAGGACUUGCCAACCGCUGAGGACCAGCAGAUAGCUCAGAUCUUCAGUUUGCACACGCAGGCAUCUGCAGCGCCACCGGAAGCCCACGUAGGUGUAGACCCUGCAUCAAUGCUGUCCUGCUUUGCUGAACCCUUGGGCAGGUCAAGAGCCUGUGCUGGAGCGAAAGGCAGAGAGCCACCACCCACACCUCGCAAGUGUGGUCCUCCCGUUGAAACAGGGAGCAAAGCAUCUACUGCUCUGCUGGCGGAGCCUUCGAGAAGGCAGCGAUUUUACUCCUAACUCUGUUCCAGCUUUGGACAUCAGAAGGUAAAUACCUUUAGAUGUGGUUCUGGAUUCAAAGUGAGUGCUGAAGGCUACACCACUGCACGCAGGAGUCAUAGAUUGAGUUGGAAAGGACCUCAAAGAUCACCUAAUUCCAACACCCUGCCCUGGGCAGAGACACCUCCCAGAGUGCAGUUCUUCUUUACCCAUUCUUUUCUUUCAGCGAAACAGGAGGUGGUAAAAGGUGGCCCCGCUGAGCCCCACAGCCGCCAGCGGCUGCUCCAGGCUGGUCCCUGGGAGCGGGGCAGACAGCCCGACAGACACCCCCCAGAAGGACAGGCAGAAAUCCCAGCGCUAACUUAGAGCACCGUUCCCAACAGCAGAGACUGCUGCCGCCUGUUUCGUGUUUCACCUCUGCUCUUCGGGGAGCUGCUUUUAAUCUCCUCCCGGUUCAGCACCAGCAGACGCCCACAACCCAUCCAGGAACACGUCCGAGGGCGGCAGAGCACGGCCACGUGCCAGAGACCUUCCCACCAUGCCCCGCCGCCAGGGCAGCGUCUCCCGAACCCGCGCCCUCGGAGCUCAACCCAUGCAAACAGGUCCCUCCAGCUGCUGAAGGGACAAAGGGCAAGGAUCCGUUUGCUAUUGGAAAUGUCUUGGAUAUAUAUUCCCUGGGGCUAUUAAUCCAACAAGCGAAUGAUGUCUGUACGGCAUUUAGAACAUGCAAACGUCACCGAGAGCCGAGUUCCAGAAUAACCUGAUCCUAACCAACACUACUGGGAAGUGUAUUUUAAACUUGUUGCAUUUAUCACUUCAGCUGCUACUAAAAUGAAGAGAAUAAUGGGGUCAAUUAUAUUUUCCAAGAACACCAGCACAGCAGUUGUACAGCAGCGCUUCCCACUUAUAAUUAUUUACAUGCAUUUCUGGCUUGAUUUUGGUAUAGCCUGAGUCAGGGAUUUUACCCAAACAGCCACCAGCUAACGCAAGCAGAGCCAAAUUUUAUCCAUCAAAACUUCAUCAGAGUAACGCAGCUCCUUCGGGCUUCAAACAAACAACAAUCACCCAGCAAGAACAUAUCUAUGUCACUACCUUCGCCCGCAGUCUAAUGGCUUUUCAUUUAGAGCAUAUGAUCAGCAAACAACAGAUAUUAACCUCAAGUAGCACAUUAAACGGUGACAUCUGUCACUCAAAGAGACUCAGACUCAGGGCUUCUCAUUUUAAACCCAUACCCGACUUUCUUUCUCAAGGUAGAUACAGCUCUCCGUAUUUAAUCCCUACAGAGGGAUUAACAGCCCUUAUCUACCUCGCAGAGACAGAUUAAUACUGGUAAAAUUAAUGAAAAGUUGGUGUGGUGUUCUUAUCGCCGCUGCUGUUACGCUGUUGUCCGACGAGGUUUGUCCUGAGCGCCGCUCAGCGCCUCACGAAGCAGCCGUGCUCACCUAUCCGAGCGCCCCGCGUCACCCCACAGCGAGGAUUGUUACUGGUGGUCACUUUGCACCUGACCUUAGCCUGGGACAAGAUGAAAAGGAGAUAGGCUGAAAGGCCGGAGAGCCACGCGCUACGGGAAAUUCUGGAAGUUAAAUAAAAGAAAGGAAGCAAAAGGCAGGAGCACAUCUUCUGUCCAUCAAACCCACCGGAGCCGGCCAGGCACAACCCAACCACCGCGCGCUCUGCUGCGCAGCGACGAGGCAGGAGCAGCACCACAGCAAAGCCCCCAAAACGUCUGAGGACACAGGACGAGGGGCAAUGGUUUUAAGCUGAAAGAGGGGAGAGUGACAUGAGAUAUUGGGAAGAAAUGCUUUCCUGUGAGGGUGGUGAGACCCUGGAACAGGUUGUCCAGAGAGGUUGUGGCUGCCCCAUCCCUGGAGGGGUUCCAGGCCAGGUUGGAUGGGGCUCGGAGCCCCUGAUCCAGUGGGAGGUGUCCCUGCCCAUGGCAGGGGGCGGGACUGGAUGGGCUUUGAGGUCCCUUCCGACCCAAACCAUUCUGUGGUUUUAUGAUUCUACUACGCUGAAAUUAUUUCUUGUCCUGGAAUAUUAAGAAGCCUCAGCAGUUUCAAGUUGCAGCUAAGACAAACCAGGCUGGAUUUGCAUCUUGAGUGCUGCUCACUUGGAACAUAAAAAGGCACCUCUGACUUAAUAAUUUUCAUUUCAUUGUGUCUGAGCUAUUGCGAGUUAUCAAAGUGAAAUUAUCUUGUGUGUUUGUCCGGAGCUCUUCCUGUUUUUAUGUUAACUCUUUUCUCUUUAACCCCAACAGAGGCCUCACAGGAAAGGGCAGACGUUCCUAUAGGUAAAUAGCACAAUAGUAUAUACUCACAGAACAAAAAAUAAACCUGCAGUAUGACUCCUUGGAAGAUAAGAUAAAGAAUAAUUUAAGACUGAGAUGAUGUGGGUGAGCAGGAAAUGGCACACGGUGCCAGCUAACCAAGGCUAAACCAGACAGACCAGCCUGGGUAUCUCAGCAGCAAGUCAGACAGUUGGAUUGUGAGACGCGGUCUAGACCGAGGCAUGCUUGAAGACUCUGAAAUGAGAUUCUUUCAUGCAUUAUACAUUAAAAGAACAAACUAGUGGUACUUUCUAGGAGAGCAGCACGUUGCACGGUGCUGGAGUUAAAAACAAAAGCUUUAAGUUGGAGGUCAAAGGACUGAAUGCAGCGCUUGCUAGUAUAUAUUUAUACCAGAGACGAGUAACAGGGAUCUGAUACAGAAAGCAUCUUGACAUGAGAUCCAUUUGCUGGGAAAGAGGGAAGGCGGCCAGGUCUGAGAGCUCCCCUGGAACUGGUACAGGCCAAGUCCAGAGGAAGAAAGCAGCUCCGGGCUGUGCAAGCUGAUCAGCCGUAUGAGACUGCCAGCAGCACCCACUAAUCUAAGCUGCACAUUAUCCUUUGCCACUAAAUCCCUAUUCAUCCUCAUGCAGCACAGUAAAAGAGAAAUUCUGUUUUCAGAAGAUGAUUUGGGAGACAAACUAUUUCAGCACUUAACUGUGCUGAUCUGGUCCCCUACUGUGAAAAUCUGCAUCAGCGUUUAAUGCUUCAAUAUACCACAAUGAGAAAAGCUUCUCUAUUUACAUGUGAUUUAAAGAUUAACCUGUCUUGAUUUGACUGUUAAUAAGCUUAUUUUAAGAGCUCGAAUGGUAUGUGUGGAGGGGGAGAGAAGGCAGGUUCCUACACAAGUUACCGAGGAGCUCGCUCUGUGAUAAUGAGGUAUUUCUGCAGACCUCAGAGACCUGAGAAAUUGUCACACGGACUUCUACCCUCCUCACUUGUGUGGUUCCAAGUUUGUCUUUCCUUUAACACCUGGCCUGCAGGUCUGCACUACCGCUACUAUCCUAUCAAUGCAAGGAAAAGAGACGAGACAUUCCCUAAAAGAAAAAAAUAACAGGAAUUGGUCCAGCGUAGCACAGAUGUCCACAGGGCAAGAGAACAUUUUCUCCUUGGAUUCACACGCUCAGGCUGAGCGUAAGGUGCUGCUUGCGCUGAGCAUGCCUGUUUUAUAGGCGAAGUGCUUAAGAAAAAUUCCUCCUGCAAAGAGCUCAAGGGCAGUGCCUGGAAUGAACGAGAGCUGAUUUUGACUUGAUUUGAAGUAAAAAAACCCCCACAG